rnacentral:rRNA from 1 species
UGGGAAAUCUUGCACAAUGGGGGCAACCCUGAUGCAGCGACGCCGCGUGAGCGAUGAAGGUUUUCGAAUCGUAAAGCUCUGUCCUAUGGGAAGAUAAUGACGGUACCAUAGGAGGAAGCCCCGGCUAACUACGUGCCAGCAGCCGCGGUAAUACGUAGGGGGCGAGCGUUGUCCGGAAUUACUGGGCGUAAAGGGUUCGCAGGCGGCAUGGCAAGUCCGAUGUAAAAGGCGAAGGCUCAACCUUCGUAAGCAUCGGAAACUGUCAAGCUUGAGUGAAGGAGAGGCAAGUGGAAUUCCUAGUGUAGCGGUGGAAUGCGUAGAUAUUAGGAGGAAUACCGGUGGCGAAGGCGACUUGCUGGACUUCAACUGACGCUGAGGAACGAAAGCGUGGGUAGCAAACAGG